CUUUGCACACCCGCGCACGAAAUAAUCAGUUGUGUGUACUUAUUGUAAUGUUAGCGAAAACGACGUUAGAAUUGUAUAUUGUAAACACGGCACUGGUAACAUUCCAGGAGGAGGAUUUACAAGUCAGUCCUGCUACAACGGAACGAAUGUGUUCCUGACAUGCCCUUCGCUAAAAUCACGUACUAAUUAAGAUACACAUAUCCAAUGGCGAAAAGCGGGGUUAGGGGACUGCGAUUCCAAACUCAGUAACUUAUGGAAAACAAAAUGAAUUAAAUAAUAAAAAACAGUGAUACCUGCAGUGGCCAGUAAUGUGGGGUUGUUUACGGACUGCAGCCUUUGCUGAGACGUCAGGAGUAGAGAUAGGAACCCCUCUCCCCACACCUCAUGAGACUCAAGACUGCACUGCCUCAUGGGUAGCACCAAGGCCAUCAUCUCCAGAUGCUACAAGACGGACCCCUGGGCAGGACCACCAGGACAUAGGUCCUGCAGGUCAUGUGACAGAUCCAGCUCACUCUCGCAGUGCCUGGGCGUGAAGCGGAAGCGGCGCACGCGGUGCACCUCCACGAAGUCCAGAUCAAACUAAGGAGACCCAGCACGCGAUACCCAGCCCCUUGAACACCCUGAGCUUCCCUGAUGACCCCCCCCCCAUCUUCAGGCACCACCCACCUGGUCAUCCUUGCUGGUGUGACGCAGCAGAUGCCGCAGGAAGUUGAGGCGGGAGCACUUGCGGACGAGGAUGAGGUCGG